UCCAGCAACCAACGAAAAUAAAGCAUCCUGGAUAGAUAUGUCACUCUUGCCUGUCUUCAAAACUUGAGAGCCCUGUUAAUGACAUGUGGUUCAAUUAAGUUCUCACUCUCUUAAACUUUAAAUCUUGAAAUAAUGUGUUGUGUUUGUGCGUGUGAUUUUGUGUGGUGAUGUAAACUCAGCUGUCAUAAGGAGCAGCAGGAGAGCACCUUGUUAACCUCUUGGUAUACUGCAUGCUCAACACAUCAGAGCAUUGUUUGUUAAGGCUGCCCACAUAGCAUUUAUCACUUUAUUUGCAGGCCUAGGAAUUGGACCCUCUCAAAAAAUUUCCAAACAGCACUUUGAACAAGUAAGAUGUAUUAUAAAGAAUUUAACAUAAAGACAGGACAUUUGUGCAAUAGAAUUAGUCAUGUUUUUGUAAAUGAGAGUAGAGUUAUUAAAACACAUUUUAAUUCUUUAAGGUAGCAAAGAUGCCUCGUAAAAGACCUUUGCCAGGCCAGAGUGCAGGGUACAACAUGGGGACAACAUGGGUACAACGCCACAUUAAUUCAAAUUUCCUGAUAUUUGAGCCACCAACGUGUGUGGCUGCGUGCGCUGCAACAUUUUGGUCACCCCCGACAAAAUCUCACUCCAAGGUUUUUUGAAAAGUUGGCAGCUCUGAUAUUUGUAUUCAACCCGAUACCCUGCCAGAGUCUUGGCAACUGGAAUCUGAAGGUGGAUUCUCUCUCUCCUCCAGGGUCUAUCUCGUGGGUCACGGCGACGCCGGCCGACGUGGUGAAGAGCCGUCUGCAGGCCGACGCCCACCCGCAGAGGAAGUACCGCGGCAUCGUGCACUGCAUCAUGCAGAGCUACAAGACGGAGGGCGCGCAGGUUUUCUUCCGCGGCGCCUCGGUCAACGCCAUCCGAGGCUUCCCGAUGAGCGCCACCAUGUUCCUGACCUACGAACUCUCCCUGCAGUUCUUCAGAGGUCUCUAGGCCGGAGGAGACAUGUUGGGGGGGGAGGAGCUUAACUCUUGAGUGGGGAGAGGAGCUUCGCUUAACACUGGACCCACUCAAAGAUCCUAAUAGGCUAAAUAACGGAGCUAACAGCAAACAAAGCUAACAGAGCUAACAGCUAACGGGGUUACAUUGAAUGACAUCAUGAUGCGUUCAAGGUCUAGUCAGUGAAUCAUUUAUUUGACUCAAUAACGUUAUCAUGAUCUGUUCAUAUUUGUCACUGUGGCACAACUUUUAGUGAUUAUACAACCAUUAUGUUAGUGAUUAUAUAACCAUUAUUUAAUGACUAUAUUACUCAUUAUUUCAAUGACUAUAUAGUCAUUAUUUUAGUUAAACAUCCUUCCAAGGUAUUAUCUACCUGUAUAUAUUAUGUUUGCAUUUCAUAUAUUUAGAAAAGGGAGUUUGACGAGUAAAUUAUCAGUUCACCUUUUUUAUUUAAUACUGUAAAUUACUGUAAAAAUACUGUAAACAGCAGACAGUUUGGCUUUUUAAAAUAGUAAAAACAAUGGCGUUGACAAUGGUUCCGUCCUGUUCAAGUUUCUUUCUUCCCUUUUUUCCCCCCUGAAGGGUUAUUUGGGAGUUUUUCCUGAUCCGAUGCGAGGUUUUGGGGCAGGGAUGUCUAUGUGUACAGAUUGUAAAGCACUCCGAGACAAAUUUGUGAAAUUGGGCUUUUCAAAUAAACUGAAUUGAAUUUAAUUACAUUCAGACACUAUGAGCAGCACAGUUACAUUAUUGUUUUUAAAAGGUCUGCACCAUGAAUGUAGAAUUACUAAUCUCACCAGUUGAAAGACAUUUUUAGGUCUAUUUUCAUCCUAAAUCAUCACUUUGAUGGAUUAAAACCACAUUUAAACUCGUGGGUUUUAGGACAUAACUGUCUUUUUGCAUUCUGCCGGCCUGAUAGCAAUGUUUUAAAUAGUUUUAUUGUCCUGUAAAUACUUGUAAAUAUGUAAACUGCCAUGUCAAAGAAGUGUUUUAUUGUAAAUAAAUAAAGCUUUUAAACAUA